UACAGAGGGUGCAAGCGUUAAUCGGAUUUACUGGGCGUAAAGCGUGUGUAGGUGGCUACUCAAGUCGGUUGUGAAAUCCCCGGGCUCAACCUGGGAAUUGCUUCCGAGACUGAGUGACUAGAGUACGGUAGAGGGCGGUGGAAUUUCCGGUGUAGCGGUGAAAUGCGUAGAUAUCGGAAGGAACACCAAUGGCGAAGGCAGCCGCCUGGGCCUGUACUGACACUGAGACACGAAAGCGUGGGGAUCAAAC
rnacentral:rRNA from 1 species